rnacentral:rRNA from 1 species
CCUACGGGCGGCAGCAGUGGGGGAUAUUGCACAAUGGGGGGAACCCUGAUGCAGCGACGCCGCGUGGGUGAAGAAGCGCCUCGGCGCGUAAAGCCCUGUCAGCAGGGAAGAAAAUGACGGUACCUGAAGAAGAAGCCCCGGCUAACUACGUGCAAGCAGCCGCGGUAAUACGGAGGGGGCAAGCGUUAUCCGGAUUUUCGGGGUGUAAAGGGGGCGCAGGAGGAGAUGUAAGCCAGUGGUGAAAGUGAGGGGCCCAACCACGGGAGUGAUCUUGAAACUGGGAGGAUGGAGUGGAGGUGGGGCAGGCGGAAUGCGUGGGGUAGCGGUGAAAUGCGUAGAUAUCAUGAAGAACAAGGAUGGCGAAGGCAGCCUGC